AUUCUUAAUUCUUAUAGUUCCAUCGCCGACGUUGAAAACUUCUUGGCUCACCCUAGGGUCUCCAACGUCGUGGGCAUUGAAUUGCAAAUAUGUGGUGUAAUUAUAAGGAUAGGCAGCGAGAAACUUGUCACCGUUCUUAAAGGUGACGUAUUUAGGGAGUCGGAUGAUGUUUUCAAAAUCGACUAACAAAAGUAAUUUGUCGCCAUGAUGUUUUUCAUCUUGUUUAUAUCUAGUUGUGAGAACAUUGGGAUGAUUCUUGCAACUAGUACAUCGACAUGCAUAGGUUUGAAGCAAUACAUCAAAUAAAUAGUAAGUCCCUACAGUAGGACCUUGGAUGAUAUUAAACAAUGUGCAUGGCCAUGAGGUAUCGUUUUCACUCGGCUUGCUAACAAAGGGACGAACAAAGCGAUUGUAGUCAUUGGAAGAGGCUAAGUACUUGUUGUUGUAGCAACAUUUAAUGUGCCAAUAUUUACCAUUCUUGUCGGGCUCAAUCUCGAACUUUGUAAACGGGGUCAAAGCUUGAUCAGAAGAGAAGUAUAGAUUGCCCUUAAAAAAACCAUGGGUAAGGUAUUGAAGGUACUUCCUUUCUGUGUGGUUCUGAAAUCCUACAUACUUAGGGAGAAACGACAUUAUUAUAGAUAUGAUCAACAGAUACAAAGAGAGAGAGAGAGAUGAGCUUGAGUGUACGUGUAUGUAUGUAUAAGUUUUCUUCUUCUUAAUUACACACUUAAUUCUCUAAGGUGUGAGUACUAAUACCCAAUAUCCAAACCUCUUCUCUUUAUAUAUACAUGUAUGGAUAACUAAUAUUAACUAUUAUCUUCUGCAUGAUCGUAGGACGAUACAUCACUUAUAAUAUGGAUAACAAGGAAUCCUUACUUUACUUUUUUUCUUUAUUGACUAAAUAAUUUAAACUUUAUACUUUGUGUCAAUCAAAAAUAUCUCUCAACCCUAAAUAUAUAUAUUUUUAAAAAUAAUUUAAAGCAGCAUUUUCAAAAAUAGCAAAAUAAAAUAAAAUAUUUACAAGCUAUAACAAAAUUUUAGAUUUUAUGAGUGAUAAAAAUGUAGCAUAUCAAUGAUUAUCAGUUAUAGAAUUGAUUGUAAAUAUUUUGUAAAAUCUACUGCUUUUUUAAAUUUCCCUAAUUUAAAAGUAUUUACAUUGCAUUGCACAUGUUAUGUAAAAAGAAAAUAUUUAAAAGUUGUAGAUUCAUGGUACGGUGAUAGAAAACUACUAGCUAUAGAAUCCAAGAUUUUGCUAUAGUUUUUAAAUAUUUUAAUUAAUUUAUUUUGCUAUUUUAAAAAAUAGUCAUAAGACCAUAAAUUAGUUAUUUAAGAUUUUUUUCGAAAACUCAUUCUUAUGUUUUAGAUUUGGGAAAUUGUCAAAUAUUCAUUUACACUUUAUAGAAAAAUAAAAUUGAAUCACUCUCGAGAAAAUAUAAUUUUUGUUUGUUUUUUUGGAUGAAGUGAAAAUAGUUUGUCAAAUUUUUUUAUAUUUUUUUAAAAAAAUUGAAGAUUUGGUUAGCUUAAAUUAUUAUUUAUUAUUAAAAACCAUUAUAUAUAUUUUAAAAUUUUGUGAAUAUUUAGAAAUCUAAUUUUUUUAAAAACAUUGUUCACUUUUGGUUGUAGUGAAUAUAUAUCAAAAUCUAUUAGAUUUUCAAAAAAAAAUUAUCUCCAACCUAAUAUCUAUUAUUAUUUUCUAAAAAUUGUUCCGAUAGAAAUAUAUAAAAAAAUAUUAAUUUUUAUAUGUGGUGAUAGACUCUUAUCGCUGAUAUAGUCUAUAUUAUUGAUAGAUUUCCAAAUAUUGAUCUAAAUUUUGUUAUAUCAAAAAAGAAAAAAUAAAAACCAAAGUUUUUUACUACCGACACCUUUUUCCACUCUCCAACACUAGAGUCACCCACCUUUCUACAACAUAAUGGAUGUGAGACAAACACUUUUAAUAUUUUGCCAAAAAUUCUUACAAAAAUGAUAUUUUCAGUACGUGGAACCCUCCGUUUAAAAUUUGCAGAACUAGGAAGAUUUAGAAAAAGUCGUUUUAGAAAAGAGGUUAAUAUAAUUGCUAACCUGAGUAGUUAUCUCAAGGACAAGAGAUCUCGAAUUCAAAUCUUUCCACGCUUCCGUAUUGUAUUAUUUAAACAUAUCUUUAAAAAAACUUAAUUAAUUUGUAACCUAAAAAUAAAUAACAUUAUCUUUUUGUUUUCUUUUCAUACGAAGAUUAUAUUGCUGCUUAAGAACAAUAUACUUUACUAAAUUCUUUUGUUUGAGCAGACUAGAACAUACUGAUAUAUUCCAUGUUUCACAUUGUUGAACGACUUUAACUUUUACAUUCAUACAACUUUUGUACGAGCAUCUUAUUUUUGUUUCGAGUCAUUGACAUUCAACCUCGCCAGUUCCAAAAUAUGGGGCUGUUUAUUAAUUCUCUCUCUUUAGUUAGGAGGGUCUCUAUCUCUAAAUAAAAAGUUGUUUAAAUAAUUGAUCCUCAAUCUGCUUUUAAUAUACAUGUUAUUGACCAAGGUUAUAUAAAUGUUAUUAGUACAUAUUAAUCAAGAGUUCAAAAAUGUUAUGUAUUUUUUUCUUAAACUAAUAUUAUUUAAGGUAAUGUGAUCCCAAACCUUAAGUUACUUAAUGAAGCAAUGAAGAAGAAUAUAGCUAAAUAUAGUAGAUGCCUUUAUCUUUCUUUCUUUGAUCAUUUCGUCUUCAUCUUAUUCCAUUGCUAGAUUAGAUCUUGUUGAACUUAUAUCUAAUACCAUAAAUCUUUCUUCAUUUAUGCUUGAAUUAUUAAACUACAUUCUAUUUCCUUACCCGAACUUUGAAUACUUUAAAGAAAAAUAUUUAAAAAAGUAGAUUUUACAAAAUAUUUACGAACAUAUACCAAAUUCUAUCAUAUCAGUCAUAGAAUCUAAAAUUUUGCUAGUAAAUACUUUAUUUUAUUUUGUUAUUUUUAAAAAUGUUUUAUAUAUAAAACAUCGAUAUAAAAACAGUAAAAAGACUUUUAAAGACAGAUUUGUCCGGUUUUAAAUUAAAUGUAUUGAAUUAAAAAAUUAUUAGGUAAAUUGAUUUUUAAAAAGAGAAAUUUUUAGAAAUAGUAGAUUUUACAAAAUAUUUACAACUUAUAGCAAAUUCUAUCACUGAUAGUCAUUGAUAUGCUAUCGUGAUAGAAGACUAUCAUUGAUGGAAUCUAAAAUUUUGGUAUAGCUUGUAAAUAUUUUAAUUUAUUUUGCUAUUUUAAAAAAUGUUCCUCCCCAACCUAAAAGUUUUGUUUAAUUAAAUAAUUAGAGUAAUAAUAAGAAUUUAGCUUUAAUGAUUGGAAUAAAAAAACGGUUAAUAACUAAUUGAGUCCAAACUUACCGUAUAAACACACACAAGAUUGAAGAUCGAAAAUUGCUCGAAGAUGAAGAUGAAAAUUGAAAUUGUUCAUAGUAAAACAUUAUUUGUUAAUUUAUAAUUUUUUUUGUUAUAGUUUAUACUGUUUUUUUUGUUAAUAAUUCAACCGUUUAUAAUAUUUUUUGUGCAUAGAAACGUACAAAACUUUAUUUUCAUAAACUUUUAAUUUAUCCAAAAAAAAAUGAGAUGUGUUAUUUUGAUUUAAUUAUUUAGUUCAUUUUCUAUAAGAUAGAUGAAAAAAGGUGUGAUUAAUAAAGUUAGAAGUUUUUCUAAAAUCGUGAAUAAAAGUAAUUACAAUUGUUUACAAAUUUAAUUAUAUUAUAGCAAAUCAAAAAUAAAAAUAGAAAACCUGUUAGCAUUUAAAAUUUUAUAGUUUGUUACAUUUAUUAUAUAAAUGUGUUUGAAAUCGUAUUCAAAUAUACAUUUUCUUUCACAGAAAUUUGUUCAAAAUAAUAUUAUGUAGAUUUAUUGUAGCAGAGAUUUAUAGAGAAAAUGUCAAUAAAGCUGAUAAAUAAAAAAAGGGAUAAAAGUUCUAUUUUUUAAAAAAUGGAUCAUACUCGUUCACCCAUCGUUGUAUUGCAUAAAUUUACGAGCAUUUCCAAUCUUAUAAGUAUUUUUUUGAAGACUAAAUGUACAAUUGUAUUGAUACAAAAGCAUACAUGUAUGGUAAUACUUAGUGAAUUAAAAUUAUAGUUAUAAUACAUUGUGUGGACAUUUAAUUUUUUUUUAAGGAAAGGAGAAAUCUAAUUAGUAAUUUAAGAUAAUUAUCCAAAAUUAUAUAACUGUGAAUGCUUUGUAAUUAAAAUAAUAAAUAAAUUAGUUAUUUUCUAAUAUCAAAAUAAACUAAAAUAUUUAAAGUAUAGGAAAGUAUCACUUAUAGGUGUUGAUAGAUACAAUAAAUUUAUGAAUGUUUAUCAUUGAUUUACUAUGAAAAUUCUCUUAUAAUUAAAAAUAAUUUCAACCAUUUUAUUAUUGGGACACUUGCAAAAAUGACAAAACAAGUUAUAAUAAUUAAGUCCAUAACACACAAGUUUUAUUAUUUUCGAAGAUGGCAAAAACGAAGUCCAACCCACACAUCAAGAGGUAAAAUAUCACUAAUGUCUUUGUUACUAAUAUACAUCUGAUACACCUUAUACACGUCUGAUACACCUAAUACACCCCUUGAUACACCUAAUAUACCCCUUGAUACACCUGAUACUUCUUGAUACACCCGAUAUAUUUGAUUGAUACACUUGAUGCACCUAAUACUUUUUGAUACAUUCGAUACCUUUUGAUACACACCUGAAACAUUACUAAUAUAUGUUUGAUACACUGCAGAUACAUUUAGUAUUCUUCACUUAUACAAUUGAUUGAUUAAAUGCACUUGAUAUGCUUGAAGUCCUACUUAUAUACUUGAUAUAAUAUUGAUAUACACUUGUAAACUUGAUUCAUAUACUUGAUAAUGAUUCACUUUACUAAUAUGUUUUAACAAUAUAUUGUUAAUAUACUUGAUAAUGAUACACUGAGUUACAUCAUUCAUAUACUUAAUAAUACUCUAACGAACUACGUAAAGUUUGAAAAAACGAAAAUCAUGUAGUAAGUAUAUUAACCAACUAAUACAUAUAAUAUAAGUAUAUCACAACACUAUAUACGAAACUGAGAAAAAGUAAAACAAAAAAAUUAAUGUAAAAAAAUAAAACAAAAUCAUUUGGAAUCUAAUUCAACUCAAAAUACAUAUCGAAGGAAGUAAAAAAAAAAUCACAAAUGAAGUUAAUUACUCCGAUCAACAACCAUUAUAUUAUAUUUCAUAUUGCAAUUAUUGUACUAUUGAUAUUUUAAAAUUAAGAUUAAGACAAAAAGAAUAAAUUAUUUUUUUAGUAUAAGAAUAAACAAAUAAUUAGGGUCUUAGAAAGUGAGAGAAUAAAUAAAUAAUAAGUAGACAUUAAAUAGAGGAAGAGAAAUAAGUUAUUGAACGGUAAUUUAGGAAUAAUAACAAACUUAAGAUGAAGAAGUAAAAAUUUUGCCAUAUUUACAAAAUUCUAAAACAAUGUGCUAUAAUUGCUAUAUUAUAUUCUCGAAAUGUUAUCAUAAGGAAUUUUUAAAUAUUAUUUACAACUAUUUUUUAAAAUUAUAAUAUAUUACUUAUUUGUAAAUUCCCACCUAAAAGUUAACAUAGCUAGAUUAGGAGAUGAUUGCAAAUAUGAUUUUAGCAUUAUGGUUAUAAAAAUUUGAAGCAUACAUUUACAAAAUCACCAACUUUAUGUGUGUAUAUAUAUAUGACAAAUUAUGUGCAAUAGAAUCUUUAGAAUUUGAGUCUAAAAUCAAAAAUUUAUAAUAUAUAUGUGUGUAAAUUUUAAAAUAACUAAAUAUGCAUCUCAACUUCAAAUAUAUAUAUGUGACACAUAGAUAAAAUAUAUAUGUUAAUAGAAAAGAGAUUAGAAUUAAAAUAUGUAUAAUUUUUAGUAUUAUCUUUUUUUGCAUUGAACUGCAUUAUUUGUUAGGUAAUACUUUUUGUAGCAUAGUAAUAAGAUAGAUCACAUUUUGAUUUAUUAAAAGCUUUAUCCAACACAACAGAUAAAGCUAUACACACACUCAAGAGUAAGUAAAAGAAAAAUUAAGAAACACAAACACAAAUGACAUAAUAGUGGAUGAUGGAUAAUAUAGUGUGGUAUAGUGAUGAUGAAUUAUAUAAAUCAGAGAGGAAGAGGCUUGUUUUGAUAAUCAAACUUAAAGGUAUAGACUCCAGUGUAAAGGCCAUCAUCAUACUCUGUCUCAACUCUUCUUCCAUUUCGGAGAAGAUCUCGUUGCGUGUACGAAAACGGAAUAUCACAUUUGGCCUUAGUUGCAAGAAGAGUAACUUUCAUCCUUGUGUUUGGUGGUACAGGAACAGUAUAUGUUGCCGUUACUUCUCUACUUUCUGAAAUAGUUUCUCCCCAUGUGUAACUCGCUUCAAAAUUGUAGCUGACUUUAAUCUCAGUAUCUAAAAUUUCAGGAAUCCCAGCUUUAAUGGAAGUCUCUAUACCCACACCUACGGUGAGUGAAGAUUCCCAAGUUUUGGAUUUUUCUUCGAGGUACCUCAAACUUACAGCCAUAACCGUCUCCUUCGAGCUCGAGUUAACAGCCUCCUCCGUUGCCAUUGUUAGUACCUGUUCAUCGUAUAUCUUUGCAUCCAUAGUCCGAUACCGAAUAUUGUAGAUUUCCCUUGAAAUAAUUGGCUCAACGAUCUCCAAUUCUGCCUCCUUAGUGAUAGUUUCACUACUAGCAUUCAGAAAAUCCACCUUACCAUCACCAGUGUAUCUCGUAACAAACCUGCCAUUGGCAACGUUUCGAAGUGCGACUUUGUUUUUAGCAAUCUUGACGGGCCAGAACAAGGUGUUCUUGUCGUUCUUCGUCUGGUCGUUUGAGUCAGCCAGGAUCCAGUUUGGGUCACGUCUCCAAAACUUCUUCGUAGAUUCGUUCUUGAUUCUAACAGUUCCAUCACCAACGUUGAAAAUUUCGUGGCUCACCUGAGGGUUUCCAAUGUCAUUGGCAUUGAACUGCAGAUAUGGGGAAUUACGAUACGUAUAGGUAGCGAGAAACUUGUCAUUGUUCUUAAAGGAGAGGUAUUUAGGGAGUCGGAUGAUGUUUUCAAAGUCGACUAGCACAACUAAUUUGUCGUCGUGUCGUUUUUCAUCGCGUCUAUAUCUAGUUGUGAGAACAUCAGGAUGAAUUCUGCUACUGGUACAUCGACGUGCAUAGGUUUGAAGCAAGACAUCAAAUAAAUAGUAAGUCCCUGUAGUAGGACCAGGGAUGAAAUUAAACAAUGUGCAUGGCCAUGAGGAUUCAUUUUCACUCGGCUUGCUAACGAAGGGAGUAACGAAGCGAUUGUGGUCGUUGGAAGAGGCCAAGUACUUGUCGUUGUAGCAACAUUUUAUGUGCCAAUAUUUACCAUCCUUGUCGGGCACAAUCUCAAACUUUGUAAAUGGGGUCAAAGCUUGAUCGGAAGAGUAUUGUAGGUUACCCCUAAGAAAACCAUCAGAAAGGUAUUGAAGGUACUUUCCUUCUACGUGGUUCUGGAAUCCUGCAUAUUUGGGGAGAAACGACAUUGUUAACGGAGAGAGAUGGUAAAUAUGAGUUUUCUUCUUCUCAAUUACACACUUCUCAAGGUGGUGAGGAACUGAUGCCCAGUCCCCAAACCUCUUCUCUUUAUAUACAUAUAUGGAUAACUAAUAUUAAUUAUUAUAUUUUGCAUGAAUGGGACGAUACAUCGCUUAUAUGGAUAAAUCAGAAUAUAUACUUACUUCACUUUUUUGUUUGUUGACUAGAUAAUCUCAACUUUUUACUUUGUGUCAUUCAUAAAUAUCUCUAAAGUACCGUAAAAAAGUUCAAAAAAAUAAUCUUGCUGCUUUUUAGUGUGUCCAAAAGUUUUCGAUUUUUUUAGUUGUAGUAUUUCUUCUAUACCGCUUAGUUUUUUAGUUGUAGUAUUACUUCUAUACCGCUUAGUUACUUACGUGUGUUUUUAUAAUCUGUGCAUAACUUUUCGAGUUUCUUUCUAGCAUGUUUUGUACUUUUCCAUUGAUUAUUGAUAUCGUAUUUGGUCUUAAGAUGGAAUGAAGGGUGUUAUAGAGAUGUUAACCGAGUUGAAAUAUCUUGGUAUAUUCCAUGAUCCCUCUCUCUAGUUGGAUACUAAGUGCAUUGUAGUACAAUUUAAAAAGAUAACUUAAAUAUAAAUGGUUAAUAAAAUAACUCGUGAAAUUAAAAAAAAAUCAUUAAAAAAAUGAGUUAUUUAUAAAAGAAAAUUAAAAAGAAUCUUUUGAAUAAAAUAAUAACAAGAUUUGAAAUCAAAAUAUUUGUGUACUAUUAUAUGUUAAAUAUAUUAUCACAUAUUAAAUAAAAUAUAAUAUUUUAUGAUAGCAAAUUAAGUAUGAUUAAGUGUUUGUAUUUACAUCUAUGGAUAUAACUAUUAUUUUGGAAAGUUAGUGUAAUACGUAAUUAAGGGUGGAGGGAUAGUUUGAACCCACGGGGAUACACGUUCCUGUAUUAUUGUUAUUGUUAUUAAUUUAAAUAAGUCAAUCAACUAGCAAUGGAAUAAUUAAGAUCAAAAGGAAAUGAUGAAAGAAGGAUAAAGGCAUCCAUCAACUCAAUAAACUUAAAAGAAAUGCUCGUAUAAAAAGUUAAAGUCAUUAAACAGUGUGGAAUAUGAUUGAUUCGUAUAGAGUUGAUGGAUGCAAAGAUAUAGAGAACCAAUCAGCUUAUCUAUAGGUUUUGAUGGUUACACACUGCAAAAUUAAUUUUCACUAACCAAAAUGUUGCAAAUUUUUAAGUAUUAGAAAUAUAUUAUUAUAUACUUUUAAGUUUAUUCAUUUUGUAGUUGGAGAGAAUGGAAAAAAAAAAGUGAGUAGUCAAUAAAGUUUUGGGAGAUUUUUUUUUUAAUUACUGUGUUUUUGUUAGCUUUUUGUUUUCUAUUUUUUGUUUUUCUUUCAGUUAUUAUAUCGUUAAUUUUUUUUGAAAUAUACAAAAAAAAAAAAAAAACUAAAAUAUUUACAAAAUCAAAUUAAAAAGUCCAUGAACCCAACCGUAUAUUUCUUUUAUAAAAUAUUUCAUGUUUGUCUAGCCACUUUCAUUCUACUUUUCUAUCUUCUCUUCGGAUCUAUGUUUCCAAUCAAUCAUAAAUUUUGUAUUUUUUUUUCCAAAGUGUUAUUUGAUUCAAGAUCGUGUACCAAGGUACACAAUCUUGAACAAAAAUCUUUGAGAUAUUGGUACAUGAUAACUUAGAUUUAGCUACACGAUCGUGUAACAAAUCUAAAAGAUAUUGGUACAAGAUCGUGUGCCAAAUAUAAAAUAUAUUGAAAAAAAUCGUUCGAAUAUUGGUGUCGUCACGUGCACGAGACGACACAGAGAGACCGACAUCCUAACAAUGUGUUAGUUUUAAAACAAAAUAAAAAAAAAAAAAAGUUGCCACCAAUUUUUUUUACGAGGUGAUUGAACACCAAAAUAAAAUAAACAAAAUUUAAAUAAAAUCAUAAAAAAAUGGUUGACAAACAUUAGACUUGAGUUUGUGAGUCAAUUGUGCAUGAGGAAAGUGUCACACCCAAAACACCCAUUCAGAAAACGGUGGCAAAAUUGUAAAUAUUGAAUUGAAAAUAUUCUUUAAUUUCUUUUAAAAUUAAUAUCUUAUUUUACCCCCGACUACUCUCAUAUUUGAAGUAACGAUCUCAUAAAAUAAGUGGAAAGCAUUCCACCACACUAUAUUCAUGAAAAAAAAUUUCUCAUCCUCAAAAAUUAGUACAAUUUCUCAAAAUCUAUCCUAGGCAUUGUCUUCUAAUUAUAAAGUGAUUUUUUUCUAGGACAUUAAUUAAAAGUAAUUUUUCUUGGAUCAAAUCUCGAACUCCCAAAAAUUCCAAGAGUUUUAUGAUUUUGUUUAAGAAAAACGGUAUAAGUUAUUAUAAAAGAUUGAUUAGAAAAUUUUAUGAAAUCACAAAUUAAAUUUUGAAGGUUCGAACAACAUAAAAAAAAAAUGAUAACUUGAAAAGAUUUUUUUUUUUCUAAAAUCACUUUUAGAAAAAGAGUUUUGUGAAAGAUUUUUAAACCUAUAAAAAUUUAAAGUAGAAGGAUUUUAAAAUAUUGAAAAUUUUAAAUAGAAAGAUAUAUCAAUUUUGAAUGGAAAUGAAAAUGAGGCUUAAUAGAAAAAUUAGAUAAGUAAAAACAAAAGUAAAGAAACGUCAUAAUAAAUUAAGCAAACAUAUUAAAAUAGCUUAAUGAGAUUUUAGUAAAAACAUUGUUGAGCAAGAAAUUUCGGCCAAUUAAAUUCUGCCACAUCAUCCCAACAAAUAUUUGUCAAAUAAGUAGAUUAGCCAAGUCUAAGCUCAACAAGUAGAUGGGCCUAAGCCCAAUAAAGCAAAUGGGCCCAAGCUCAAGUUUAAGCUUAAGUCCAAGCCCAACAGCCCCACAAGCAAAUGAGUCCAAGCCCACCUAAAGCCCACAAAUUUUCUCUAUAAAUAGAAACCUUUGUCAUUCAUUUGAGAGGUCUUUUUUGUUGAAGGAAGAAUUGAAGCUCUGAAGUACUGAAAUUGUGAAGAAUUGAAGAUUCAAACUUCUAUAAAAAAUUGAAGAUUCAAACUUCUAUAAAAAAUUGAAGAUUCAAACUUCUAUAAAGCUCUCAAGACGUGCAAGUUCUUAUCAACUUCGAGAUCAUCAUCUUCUGAAAGAUUGAAGACUUGGAAGAUCAAACUUUCCUUGAAUUCCAGAAGAUUGAAGCUUAAAUAGACUUGCAACUACAACAUCCUAAAGACCGAAGAUCAAUAAAUUCUAAAUUUUUAACUUGUAUUCGAGAGAAAGCAUCAAAUGAGUAAAUACUAGAGAUUGUAUUUACAAUAUUCAUCAAUAUACAAAUUUCAAUUCCCCGAAAUACAUUUUUUCGAAAUCUCGUGUGAACAAACAUAUUGGAGAUCGACCUCAAACUUUCAAAUAAUCGAUUUUCUCAUCUCAAGAAUUCUAGAAAAACGAACUCUCUAAUUUUUUAGAUUCCAUCGUUGAGUGUUUUUUAAAAGAAAACUAAUUAAAAAUAUUAAAAUAUUAAACAGCGAAAAUGUAAAAUAAACAAUAAUCUAUAAAUAAAAUAAAAUAUAAUGCAAAACUAUUAGAAAAAGAAAGAAGAAAGUAAGAAUAAAUAAUGAUUAAAAAAAUUGAUAAACAAGGUAUGAAAUAACGUACAUCAACAAAUAAAUUUAUUAUAUAAAAAAGAAAAUGUAGAAAUAAGGUAAUAAAGAAAUAAUUAUAAGAGUAGAAAAAUGGAGAAAUAAGAAUUAGAAAAAUAAACAAAUAUGGAGAGAAAAAAUAAACGUAUAUAAAAAUAAGAAAAUAUUAAAAAAACAAUAAUCAACUUUAUGAAAAGAGAAUAAAAGAACUAGAUAUAAAAUGCUAAUUAAAAAGAAAUAAAUAUAAUAUAGAAAGAAGAAGAAGAUAUACAACAAAAUGUAUAAUAAAAAAAAUUAUAUAUAAAAGAGAAGUUCAAAAGAUAAUAUAAAAAAAAAUAGGAAAAUUAGAAAAACAAUAACUAAAAAAUACAAAAGAAAAAAUUAAAAAAAAAGAAUUAAAACAAUGAACCCUCUUGCUGUUUAAAGCGUAGAUUAUUGAGAAUUAAAUCAUACCAUACACAUCUAAUGAUUAAGUUAGAGAUUUUACUGUAUGUUGGUUUUUCGACACUUUUAGAAAAAUAUGAUAUUUAGGGGUUUGUUACGCGAGAAAACAAAAUAGAUGUUGUAGAUUUUUGUUUCUUAAAGAAGAGAUUAAGGGUAAGAGAAGUAGUGACUAUGAAAGUUAGAGGUUUUGAUGAAGAAGAGAGAACGGUACCGAUAUCUCUAGGGUUUUUUUUGUGUGACCUUCUCCAUUGGUGGUGUUUUUUUCAUGAAAGAAGAAUAAGAGAAUAUUUAUAUAUAGCAAAAAAUAAAAAAGCUUAUUCAAAAAGGCUAAAUAUUUCAAAAUUAUUUCUCCACGUAACUUAAUUAUGCUAAUUAAUUGAUUUAGUUAUUCUAAUGACCAAGCAACCACAUAACACAUAACUUUUAAAAUGAGAGGAUCUAAAUUUCUAUUAUAUCACACUGCAUUUGCUAAUACUUUUAAGUCUUACAGAGUGGCAUAGUAAUAAGAUAGAUAUUUUUAUUUAUUUCAAGCUUUAUCAAAGACAAGUGAUAAUAAAGCUACACACUCAAAAGUCAAAAGAAAAGUUAAGAAACACACAAGAUGACAUAGUGGACGAUGGAUACAGUGGUAAGCGGUAUGGUGAUGGUGAAUUAUUUAGAAUGAAGAGGGUAAGGCUUGUUUUGAUAAUCAAACUUAAAGGUAUAGACUCCAGUGUAAAGACCAUCAUCACACUCUAUCUCAACUCUUCUUCCGUUUCGGAGAAGAUCUCGUUGCGUGUACGAAAACGGAAUAUCACAUUUGGCCUUUGUUGCAAGAAGAGUAACUUUCAUCCUUGUGUUUGGUGGUACAGGAACAGUAUAUGUUGCCGUUACUUCUCUACUUUCUGAAAUAGUUUCUCCCCAUGUGUAAUUCGCUUCAAAAUUGUAGCUGACUUUAAUCUCAGCAUCUAAAAUUUCAGGAAUCCCAGCUUUAAUGGAAGUCUCUAUACCCACACCUACGGUGAGUGAAGAUUCCCAAGUUUUGGAUUUUUCUUCUAGGUACUUCAAACUUACAGCCAUAACCGUCUCCUUCGAGCUCGAGUUAACAGCCUCCUCCGUUGCCAUUGUUAGUACCUGUUCAUCGUAUAUCUUUGCAUCCAUAGUCCGGUACCGAAUAUUGUAGAUUUCCCUUGAAAUAAUUGGCUCAACGAUCUCCAAUUCUGCCUCUUUAGUGAUAGUUUCACUACUAGCGUUCAGAAAAUCCACCUUACCAUCACCAGUGUAUCUCGUAACGAACCUGCCAUUGGCAACGUUUCGAAGCGCGACUUUGUUUUUAGCAAUCUUGACUGGCCAGAACAAGGUGUUCUUAUCGUUCUUCGUCUGGUCGUUUGAGUCAGCCAGGAUCCAGUUUGGGUCACGUCUCCAAAACUUCUUCGUAGAUUCGUUCUUGAUUUUAACAGUUCCAUCGCCGACGUUGAAAAUUUCAUGGCUCACCUGAGGGUUUCCAAUGUCGUUGGCAUUGAACUGCAGAUAUGGGGAAUUACGAUACGUAUAGGCAGCGAGAAACUUGUCAUUGUUCUUAAAGGAGAGGUAUUUGGGGAGUCGAAUGAUGUUUUCAAAGUCGACUAGCACAACUAAUUUGUCGUCGUGUCGUUUUUCAUCUCGUCUAUAUCUAGUUGUGAGAACAUCGGGAUGAAUUCUGCUACUGGUACAUCGACGUGCAUAGGUUUGAAGCAAGACAUCAAAUAAAUAGUAAGUCCCUGUAGUAGGACCAGGGAUGAAAUUAAACAAUGUGCAUGGCGAUGAGGAUUCGUUUUCACUCGGCUUGCUAACGAAGGGAGUAACGAAGCGAUUGUGGUCGUUGGAAGAGGCCAAGUACUUGUCGUUGUAGCAACAUUUUAUGUGCCAAUAUUUACCAUCCUUGUCGGGCACAAUCUCGAACUUUGUAAAUGGAGUCAAAGCUUGAUCAGAAGAGUAUUGUAGGUUACCGAAAAGAAAACCAUCAGAAAGGUAUUGAAGGUACUUUCCUUCUGUGUGGUUCUGGAAUCCUGCAAACUUAGGAAGAAACGACAUUAUUAACCGAGAGAGAUGGUAAAUAUGGGUUUUCGUCUUCUUAAUUACACACUUCUGAUGCCCAAUACCCAAAUCUCUUCUCUAUAUAUACACAUAUGGAUAACUAAUAUUAAUUAUUAUACUAUGCAUGAAUGGGACAAUACAUCACCUAUAUGGAUAAAUGGGAAUCUAUACUUACUUCACUUUUUUGUUUGUUGUCUAAAUACUUUAAAUCAAAAGUAUUUCUAAAGUACUUUAAAAAGUUCAAAAAAAUAAAUUUACUAGCUUUUUGGUGGGAACUUUUUUUUCCUUCUUUUCAUUUUGUUUGAAUGGUAGAAUUUCUUCUAUAUCACUUAACUGGCAUGCGUCUUUGUAAUCUAUGCAUAACUUUUCGAGUUUCUUUCUAGCUUUCUUUGUACUUUUUCAUUUAUUAACGACAUUGCUUUUGAUCGUAUGAUGGGAUGAAGGAUGGUAUAGAGAUUGUCAAGCCAGUUUAGAUUUAGAUUUGGUGCACCCAUGAUCCUUCUUGCCUAAAUUUUUUAAAAAAUAUUACUAGUUUCAUACCAUGUAAAAUUUAUAAAGAUAAUUUAAAUAUAAAUGUUUAAUAACAUAACUAUUAAAAAAGUUAUCAUAAAAAUAAUAUAUUCACAAAGAGAUUUUUUAAAAUAAAAUAAUAAUCAAGUUUUUAAAUGAAAGGUAACGAAAAUAAAAAUAUCAUUUACAACCCCACAAAACCAUAAUAAUUUUGAAAACGAAAAAAUUGUAUACUGUUAUAUGUUAAAUAUAUUAUUACAUGUUAAAUAAAAUAAAUAUUAAAUUUUUUACCGUAACAAACCAAGUAUGAUUCAUUUUUAAUAUUUAAAUGUAUCAAUAUAACUAAUUAACCUAUCUUGAAACUAAUAAUAUCUCAUUCAAAAUUUUACUUAACAAUAAUUUUAUAUGAAUGAUUUUAUAAAUAUUAAUUUCAAAUUCUUAUCUAAAUAAAAAAUAUUAAUUCUUUUAUCUUUUUAUACAAAAAAUGAUAAUCCUCCUCUCUUAAAGAAAAAAGAAAAAUUAAGAUGCUCGUACAAAAGUUGUAUGAAUGUAAACGUUAAAGUCAUUCAACAGACACCAUUUAUUCAUAUGAAGUUGAUGGAUAUAAGAUAUAGAGAACCAAUCACUCUAUCCAUAGGGUUUAUGGGUACACAAAACUCCAAAUUAAUUUUCACAUACUAAAAUGUUGCAAAUUUUAAAGUAUAUGAAUAUAUUAUAUACUUUAAGUUUAUUCCUUUUAUAUUCCCCUUAUUGGAGAUAGGGUAAAAACAAAUGUAAGCAGUCAAAAGUUUGGGAGAGUUUUAUUUAUUAUUAUUAUUUUAAUAAUUAGAGUGGGAGAGGAAAAUUAUUGAGUGUGAUUAAGGAUUGUUUUAUAAAUAGAAGAGAUUGAAAUGAUAAUUUUGUUAUAUGCAACCAUUUAUUUGGUUGUGAAUUUAAGAAUGCAUGUAAUGUUUAUAAUUUUUUACAACAAAAUUUAAUGGGAAAUGAAGAAAAUAACAAUUUAUUGAUUUGUUUUUGUUUUUGAAAAGAUAAAAAGAAAAAUAAAUCACAAAUGAAUGGAUAGGUUGAAGUGGUGGAUAAUUGUUUGAUAUUUUGUUCCACAUUUUUGGCUUUAAUUCCAACCACUUGUAAUUCCGCUUGCACUUUUACUACUAAAAAAAUAAAGAAAAAAAGUUGAUGUUAAUGAGUUGAUAGAGGUCUUUAUCUUUCUUCCAUCAUUUCAUUUUGAUCUUUAAUUAUUCCAUGACUAAAUUUGGUUCCAUUUUUUUUUCAACUUAUUUAAAUUAAUAACAAUAAUAUAAAAAAUAACAAUAAUUUGCAACCUUGAGAUCGAUUGAAUUGACAGAUGUUUACCAAUUAUAAAAAAAAUUGAGAAAUUAUUUACCAAUUAUAGACAAAAAUUUAUUGGGUAAAUAUUUUGUUAAAUAUUCUAUUUUCGAAAAACUUUUGAAAAAGAAAAUCUAUCUAAAUUCACAUUUUUUUUAAAUAAGGUAAAAUUUGAAACAUAUUUCUAAAAUAGGUUGUUGCAAAACUACUUUUAAAAAUAGGUGAUUUGAGUCCCAUGAAAUGGAUCCCACCUCUUCUAUUUUUUCUUAUUUUUAUAUAUAUACUACAUUGGGUCCCACAUGUUUUUAUUUUCUAAUUAUUUGUAUAUACGGGUCUCACACAUUUCAUUUUUCUCUGAUAGUAAUAAUAAUAAUGAGAAGAAGUUAUUGUUAAACAAAAUAAUAAUAAUAAUAAUAAAUCAACAAUGCACAUUACUAAUUGAAUAAAUUUUUUUUAAUAUAUAUAUAUUAAAUAUUUCAAUCUUUAAUUUUUCUUAUUAAUUCAUCUUUUUUAAUUUAAUUAAUUAUUACUUAACCAAAAUUAUAUAUCUUUUUCUUAUUUUGUGUUUAAAAAAACACAUAAAUUAACAAAAUAUGUUAUUAAAAAAUAUAUUAAACAAAAUAAUAAUAAUUAAAAGAAGUGGAAGCUUACUCUAAAAAUAAUAAUAAUAACAAAUUUGCAAUAGAAAAUUAUUCGUUAAGUUUUUAAUUUGUAAUCGAACCAAUUCUUGUUUUUUUCUUUUGACAUGAACUUUUUUUUUAUUCAAUUACCAAUGUGCAUUGGUGGCUACAAGUGUUAUUAUUUUUUUUAGUAACUUCAACUUCUCUCCAUUAUUAUUACUACUUUUAUUUGUUUAAUAUAUUUUUAAUAACAUAUUUUUUUGUUAGUAUAUGAGUUUUUUUAAAAAAUAUUAAAAAUUGGAAAAAAAAAUGUAUAAUUUUGAUUAAGAAAUAAUUAAAUUAAAUUAGAAAAAUGAAUUUAAUAAGAAAAGUUGAAGAUUGUGAUAUUUAAAUAUAAAUAAAGAAAUAAAUAAAAAAUAAAGAAAUAAAUUAAUUUAAUAAAGAAAUAUAUUUUUAGAAUUUGAAUGUUUAAUAUAUAUAUUAUUAUAUGUGGGUAUAUAUAUAUAAAUAAUAAGAAAAAGUGAAAUGUGUGGGACCCACAUAUAUAAAUAAUUAAAAAUAUAAAAAAUGUGAGGCCCAGUGUAGUAUAUAUAUAAAAAUAAGAAAAAAAUACAAGAAGUGGGGUCCACUUCAUGGAAGUCUGUAUACAGGGUAUACGACUUCACCUAUUUUAAAAAAUAGUUUUGCAACAACUUAUUUUUGAAAUAUGUUUCAAACUUUACAUUAUUUUUAAAAAUGAUCCUUAAAAUAACAAAGCACAUUCUAUUACUUUGUCUCUCGUCUUUGAUAAAGCUUAAAAUAAAUAAAAAUGUGGUAUAUCGAUGAUGAAUAUGGAUGAGAGAGGGAGAGACUUGUUAUGAUAAUCAAACUUAAAGGCAUAGACUCCAGUGUAAAAGACCAUCAUAACACUCUGUAACAACUUUUCUUCCAUCCCGAAGAAGAUCUCGUUGCAUAUGAAAACGAAAUAUCACAUUUGGCCUUAGUUUAGUUGCAAGAAGCGUAAAUUCUCCCUAUAAGUAAUUCAUCUCACUUUCUAAAAUAUCAGGAAUAAUCCCCCGCUUUAAUGGAAGUCUCUCUACCCAUACCUACCCUUACCUAGUGCUUUUGAACUUUUAGCUCCUUAGGAAUAUUUUGUGGAUAUAAGCCCAUUUGAAAGUGUGGGAAUAACUCUUUUCUAAAAGAGUUAUCUCUUUGUAAAAGACAUAUAGUUAAAUCUGUAAGUUUUAAUUUCUUGUCUAACUAGAGUUUAGCUAAAGGUGAUAGGGUAGUCUAUAAAUACUCUUGUAUCUCUUUGAUAUUUUGCACACACAAAAAAUUGAAAAGAAAUAAUACCUUGCUCUCUAAAGCACAGUGGACGUAGGCCUUGUCGAACCACUUUAAAACAUCGUGUGUUCAUCUUCUCCCUCUUACUCUCUUCAUCUUCUCUUCAUCUCACCAUAAUCCAAAACAAGAGAAAUAAGAAAACAAGAAAUACAGUAUAGAAAGAAAAAACAAGAAAAUCUUGAGAGUUUUUUCAAUCCUCUGUAAACGUAGAUCUAUAUGCAAGUGAAAUGAGAGGGAAAAGUAAAACACAAGUUAUGCAAUUAGGUGGCUUUCCUGUGUUCAUACAAGUGGCUAUCCCUUGAGAAAGGGUUAAUCUUUUUAAUCUUCAAUGGAAAUUAUCCUUUAUAAAGAAUUUUCAUGGACAACUUGGGUCCAUUUACUUGACGGAUUUGUGUAUGGGCUCAUUUUGCUUAUUGGACUUGAACGAACUUUGACUUUGAGUUACACUAUUUUAUUUGGUCCAAAUUUCUAUCAUGGGCCUGAAUUGAAUUGGAUCUAAAUAUUGUCAAAUUUGAGAGUGGCCACAAUCUAGUUGGGGUUAAAAAACCCGAACCAAAUCGAAGAACUUACCUGACUUGAUUCGGUUCGGUUCGGGUUGGAUUGGACUUCAACAGUAUUGUUACCGAAUUGAAUUGGGUCGGUUCGGUUCAAAUGUAAAACAAAACUUUAAAUUGAAAUUAAACCCUAGUUUGCCAUUCGUGCGACUUCCUCCAUCUGCGCCAUUCUUCGUUCCUGGCCGUUCUUCGUUCGUGGGUCUUCUAUCUUCCGUCUUAUGCUCACGUGGGUCUGAAAAAAGAGGAAGAAAAGUUUUGUCUUUCGCUCACAUGGUUCUAAAAAAAGGGAAAAAAGUUCUGUCUUUUCUAUGAUCUGACAUCUGUUAAAAAUAAUACAAAGUUGAAGAAGUUGUUGAUUGUUCUCUUGGUCAAAAGAAGAAGGGGAGGAAACAGAAGAGGAGAAGGGGGGAGAAAACAGAGGAGAAGGGGGAAGAAAACAGGAGAGAAGGAGGAGGAAAGAGGAGAAGAGAAGAAGAGAAGAGAAGAGAAGGGAAGGGGGAAGAAAGAGAGGGAAAAAUGAAAGAGAAGGAUGAAGAGAAAAGAGAGAAUGAAAGAGAAGGAUGAAAGAGAAAGAAUGAAAGAGAAGGAUGAAAAUAAAGAAGAAGAAAACAGUUGAGAAGGGGAAGAAAGAGGGAAGAGAUAGUGUCAAGAGUGUUUUUAAUUUAUUUUUUAAAAUCAAUUGAAUAAACAAAUUUAUCAUUUUAAAAAAAACCCAACCUGGUUUGGGUCGGGUUGAUUCCUAAUAUUGAAAGAUCUGCAUAUUUUGGGUCGGGUUUUAAGGAAAAUCGACCCGGCCCAGUCUAAUUACACCCCUACUAUCUAGGCUAUUUGAUUGAAGAGAAACAACAGAAUUUUCAACAAUAAAUAUGCAAGCACUAUAAAUAUAUGGGAGAAUAUAUGCAAUUUCACUAGCUCUUGGUCAUCGAGAAACAAUUUUUUUAUGAUUAUUCCCACGGCUAUUUCGCUAAAUUGCACUGCUUUUACUUUGACUUAUUCUAUUUAUUUUGUUCAGGGCUUACUUCGAGCCCUUAUUUUGAUCACCAUCAUGUACCUUGUGCUUCAAUGAAUGAAAUAUUUAUGGAGAUGACAAGGGUAUUAAAAGAGUGUCCACCAAGUGGGAUGCUUUGGUGCACCUAUUGACCCAAGUCGUAUCCUUAAAAAAAAAGAAUUAGAUCUAAAAAUUUUAAUUACCUAAACCAAAUAAAAUUAUAAUUAUCAUACAAGAACCUGUUUUUUAUGAGAUAAUGUGGCAAAAUUUAAUUGAUCAAAAUUUUCGUCCUAACAAAUCCUUGAUUUGGUGGUAUGAGUUAUUUGAUGUAAUUUUACUUUAAAAAUUAAAUUAAAAAUCCUCCAUUAAUCUUCACCUUGGUUUUAAAAAAUUACAAAAAAGAUUUAUGUUUAUAUUCAUAUACUAAAUAAUUUAGAGUUUCUCAUAUUCGAAAAAAAACAAUAUUGUUUUAGGAGCAUUAUUAAAAUUAAAAAAAUAAAUUAAAAUAUUUACAAGCUAUAGUAAAAUUUUAAAUUCUUUGAAUAAUAAUCUUCUUGACUAUCCGCGAUAAAAUUUUGUUGAUUAUAAAUAUUUUAUAAAUUUUUUCAUUUUUUUUAAAUUUCCAUUUUUUAUUGCAAUAAACUUCAAAAUUAAAAAAAAAAUAUAUAUGAUUGCAAAUGUAAACCCACGAAAAUAAGAUUUUAGGGUUUCUCAAAUAGACAAAAUAAUAUUUUGGUUUAAAAUUAGAAUAAAUUUUAACAAAAUAAUGUUUUUUUUUGAAAAAAUCAUGCUAUCUAAAAGACAUAUGAAAGAAGAUUUUAAAAAACAUAGACAUUUUAGAAAGGACCCUUCCAAAAUUAGGAAAAAAAUUAUGACAAUAGGACUCAUGUCACCACACUUUCUAAAUUGUAAAAUUGGCAAAUAUAAAAGUUGAUAACCAUAGGAUUACCGUGUGAUAGCCCUAUGAUUACUGUCUGAUAGCCGUCUAAUAUCCUAUAUGCGCAAUAUAAAGAAGAAAAAAAAGUGUCAUUAACUAUUUUUUUCUAAAUGUUUUUUGUGAUUUGAUGUAAUUUUUUUUAAAAAAAUAACAAAAUAGCAAAACUAUUUAUAAAAUGUAACAAAAUUUAUCAAACUAUCUAUACUUUGUUUAACUUUUCUUUUGCUAUUUUUGAAAACGGUACCUUCUAUUAAGAAUUUAAGCAUAAGAGAAAAAAAAGUAGAAAAAAUAACUUUUACCCUCUCUUUCAUCUUAUUCCAUUAAUUAGAUUUGAUUAAGUUGAACUUAUCUAAUACUAUAAAUCUUUUUCAUGUAUGCUACUUUAAAAUAUUAAAUUAGAUUCUAUUUCUCUAAACUUUUAACAUUUUAAAUCAUGAGAAAAUUACAAACGUGCGUGAAGUAUCUGUCUAAUGAAGAUGUUCUGAUGCACCUAUUGAUCCAACUAUAUCAUUUUAAAGAAAAACAAUCAUGCCUAUAUAUUAUUAAUAUAUUUUUUCCCAUAUAACAAAAUUUGGAUUCAACUUUCUAAGUCUACCAAUAAUAUAGACCACCGAUAAAAGUCUAUCAUCUCUAAUAAAUUUAGCUAUAUUUACAAUUCUAUAUACUCAAACAAAAUUUUGAUGGACAUAUAUACUCACUUUCUACUAUUGUUCAUGUGCUUUUAAAUUGCUAUCUUUGUUCUUAUUUUUCUAUGCUCUCUAAUUUUUAUUGGCUAGUAGUGUGAGUGUGUAGUACUCCAUUUA
rnacentral:lncRNA from 1 species